rnacentral:tRNA from 1 species
AAAGGUAUAGCUCAGUGGUAGAGCACUGUGCUAAGCAUGCACGAGGUCCUGGGUUCCAUCCUCAGUACCUCCA